rnacentral:tRNA from 1 species
ACUUAAAUAGUUUAAUUUAAAAUUAUAAUUUGUGGAAUUAUAGAUAUAUAUAUAUAGUAUUUUAGGUA